rnacentral:rRNA from 1 species
UACAGAGGUCUCAAGCGUUGUUCGGAUUCAUUGGGCGUAAAGGGUGCGUAGGCGGCGCGGUAAGUCGGGGUGUGAAAUCUUGGAGCUUAACUCCGAAACUGCAUUCGAUACUGCCGUGCUUGAGGACUGGAGAGGAGACUGGAAUUUACGGUGUAGCGGUGAAAUGCGUAGAUAUCGUAAGGAAGACCAGUGGCGAAGGCGGGUCUCUGGACAGUUCCUGACACUGAGG